UCCUACGGGAGGCAGCAGUGGGGAAUUUUGGACAAUGGGCGCAAGCCUGAUCCAGCAAUGCCGCGUGUGUGAUGAAGGCCUUCGGGUUGUAAAGCACUUUUGGCGGGAACGAAAAGGACUGUGCCAAUACCACGGUUCGAUGACGGUACCCGCAGAAUAAGCACCGGCUAACUACGUGCCAGCAGCCGCGGUAAUACGUAGGGUGCGAGCGUUAAUCGGAAUUACUGGGCGUAAAGAGUGCGCAGGCGGUUUUGCAAGACCGAUGUGAAAUCCCCGGGCUUAACCUGGGAACUGCAUUGGUGACUGCAAGGCUAGAGUGUGUCAGAGGGAGGUGGAACUCCGCAUGUAGCAGUGAAAUGCGUAGAUAUGCGGAAGAACACCGAUGGCGAAGGCAGCCUCCUGGGAUAACACUGACGCUCAUGCACGAAAGCGUGGGGAGCAAACAGGAUUAGAUACCCCGGUAGUC
rnacentral:rRNA from 1 species